CAUCCAUCAGGUGGCAGCAGAGUUGUUAAAUAUUUACAAUUGUAAACAAAUUCUAUCCCAAGCUAUUUGCUCAAAAAAUUUCAAGCUUUACUGAAGAUGGAGAGCAUUGAUCCAGUGAAGCAGGAACCGAUUGAAUGCCAUAGUGAGAUCGGUGGUCUUUCUCCUGUCGAAAUCGUGAAACCAAAAGAAGAAAAGAAACCAGAACAAACAGAAGAAGGUGGUCAAUUUCAGUGUGCCUUGUGUGGCUGGUCAGAACGAUACCACGGUCACGGUACAAGUCUCCCUUUCGCCCGCGGAAUUGUGUUCAACGAGGACGCAUACGCCAUGCGUGAUCCAUUUGUUCCAUAUGGCCAAAACCUCUACUUUUUUCUUGGAGCACCUUGUUCAAUAUGCAAACGACUAGUCUGUGCUAAUUGUAGCCUAUUCUACUCUAAACGUUUCUGUCGCGAAUGCGCCUUAGAAAAUGUUCUUCACUUUCCCGCCGAAGUACAGAAAAAAAUUUACGAAUUAGAAACGAAUAAAAGCCAAUGAUGCAGGGUAGAAAAAA